rnacentral:rRNA from 1 species
AGAGUUUGAUCCUGGCUCAGGAUGAACGCUGGCGGCGUGCCUAAUACAUGCAAGUCGAGCGAACAGAUAAGGAGCUUGCUCCUUUGAAGUUAGCGGCGGACGGGUGAGUAACACGUGGGUAACCUACCUAUAAGACUGGGAUAACUUCGGGAAACCGGAGCUAAUACCGGAUAACAUUUAGAACCGCAUGGUUCUAAAGUGAAAGAUGGUUUUGCUAUCACUUAUAGAUGGACCCGCGCCGUAUUAGCUAGUUGGUAAGGUAACGGCUUACCAAGGCGACGAUACGUAGCCGACCUGAGAGGGUGAUCGGCCACACUGGAACUGAGACACGGUCCAGACUCCUACGGGAGGCAGCAGUAGGGAAUCUUCCGCAAUGGGCGGAAGCCUGACGGAGCAACGCCGCGUGAGUGAUGAAGGGUUUCGGCUCGUAAAACUCUGUUAUUAGGGAAGAACAAAUGUGUAAGUAACUGUGCACAUCUUGACGGUACCUAAUCAGAAAGCCACGGCUAACUACGUG